rfam:Oryza nivara chromosome 7, whole genome shotgun sequence.
AAAAACUCAAUUCCUAAGGUUUUUUUUCUAACAUGUGACCGUUCAUCUUAUUUAAAAAAAUUUUAAAAGAUAAGUUAUGUAUAAAGUAUUAUUCAUGUUUUAUCAUCUAACAAUAAUGAAAAUACUAAUCAUAAAAAAAUUUCAUAUAAGACGGACGGUCAAAUGUUAGACACGAAAACCGAAGAAUUCAGUCUUU